rnacentral:rRNA from 1 species
GAGGCAGCCACAAGGAAUCUUGGGCAAUGGRSGMAAGCCUGACCCAGCAACGCCGCGUGAGGGAUGAAGGCUUUCGGGUUGUAAACCUCUUUUCACAGGGAASAAKAMUGACGGUACCUGUGGAAUAAGCUUCGGCUAACUACGUGCCASCAGCCGCGGUAAUACGUAGGAAGCAAGCGUUAUCCGGAUUUAUUGGGCGUAAAGUGAGCGUAGGUGGUCUUUCAAGUUGGAUGUGAAAUUUCCCGGCUUAACCGGGACGUGUCAUUCAAUACUGUUGGACUAGAGUACAGCAGGAGAAAACGGAAUUCCCGGUGUAGUGGUAAAAUGCGUAGAUAUCGGGAGGAACACCAGAGGCGAAGGCGGUUUUCUAGGUUGUCACUGACACUGAGGCUCGAAAGCGUGGGGAGCGAACAGAAUUAGAUACUCUGGUAGUCCACGCCUUAAACUAUGRACWCUMGGUMURGKGAGKAYGACMSYMUSUGUGCCGAAGCUAACGCUUUAAGUGUCCCGCCUGGGGACUACGGUCCCAAGGCUAAAAGUCAAAGGAAUUGACGGGGGCCCGCACAAGCAGCGGAGC